rnacentral:rRNA from 1 species
AGCAGCCGCGGUAAUUCCAGCUCCAAUAGCGUAUAUUAAAGUUGUUGCAGUUAAAAAGCUCGUAGUUGAAUUUCGGGAUCAAUUAAUUGGUCGUGCCUCUGGUACGUACUGAUUUUAUUGGUUUCUCCCUUCUGACGAACCAUGAUGUCAUUAAUUUGAUGUCGUGGAGAAUCAGGACUGUUACUUUGAAAAAAUUAGAGUGUUUAAAGCAAGCUAACGCUUGAAUACAUUAGCAUGGAAUAAUGAAAUAGGACGUUUGAUCCUACUUUGUUGGUUUCUAGGAUCGACGUAAUGAUUAAUAGGGAUAGUUGGGGGCAUUAGUAUUCAAUUGUCAGAGGUGAAAUUCUUGGAUUUAUUGAAGACUAACUACUGCGAAAGCAUUUGCCAAGGAUGUUUUCAUUAAUCAAGAACGAAAGUUAGGGGAUCGAAGACGAUCAGAUACCGUCGUAGUCCUAACCAUAAACUAUGCC